rnacentral:rRNA from 1 species
GCGAGCGUUAAUNGGAAUUACUGGGCGUAAAGCGAGCGCAGACGGUUACUUAAGCGGGAUGUGAAAUCCCCGGGCUCAACCUGGGAACUGCGUUNUGAACUGGGUGACUAGAGUGUGUCAGAGGGAGGUAGAAUNCCACGUGUAGCAGUGAAAUGCGUAGAGAUGUGGAGGAAUACCGAUGGCGAAGGCAGCCUCCUGGGAUAACACUGACGUUCAUGCUCGAAAGCGUGGGUAGCAAACAGGAUUAGAUACCCUGGUAGUCCACGCCCUAAACGAUGUCAAUUAGCUGUUGGGCAACUUGAUUGCUUAGUAGCGUAGCUAACGCGUGAAAUUGACCGCCUGGGGAGUACGGUCGCAAGAUUAAAACUCAAAGGAAUUGACGGGGACCCGCACAAGCGGUGGAUGAUGUGGAUUAAUUCGAUGCAACGCGAAGAACCUUACCUGGUCUUGACAUGUACGGAAUCCUCCAGAGACGGAGGAGUGCCUUCGGGAGCCGUAACACAGGUGCUGCAUGGCUGUCGUCAGCUCGUGUCGUGAGAUGUUGGGUUAAGUCCCGCAACGAGCGCAACCCUUGUCAUUAGUUGCCAUCAUUUAGUUGGGCACUNUAAUGAGACUGCCGGUGACAAGCCGGAGGAAGGUGGGGAUGACGUCAAGUCCUCAUGGCCCUUAUGACCAGGGCUUCACACGUCAUACAAUGGUCGGUACAGAGGGUAGCCAAGCCGCGAGGUGGAGCCAAUCUCACAAAACCGAUCGUAGUCCGGAUUGCACUCUGCAACUCGAGUGCAUGAAGUCGGAAUCGNUAGUAAUCGCAGGUCAGCAUANUGCGGUGAAUACGUUCCCGGGUCUUGUACACACCGCCCNUCACACCAUGGGAGUGGGGGAUACCAGAAGUAGGUAGGGUANCCGCAAGGAGC